rnacentral:rRNA from 1 species
CCCUAUGGGGUGCAGCAGGCGCGAAAACUCCACUAUGCACGAAAGUGCGAUGGGGCAACUCCGAGUGUUGUCGCAAUGGCAACUUUUCUUGAGUGUACAUAGCUCAGGGAAUAAGGAGAGGGCAAGACUGGUGCCAGCCGCCGCGGUAAAACCAGCUCUUCGAGUGGUAGGGAUGAUUAUUUGGCCUAAAGCAUCCGUAGCCGGACUCAUAAGUCCACGGUUAAAGGCCAGGUCUUAAAUCUGUGCAUUGCCGUGGAUACUGUUUGUCUAGGGACCGGGAGAGGUGAAAGGUACUCCAGGGGUAGAGGUGAAAUUCGUUCAUCCUUGGGGGACCACCUAUGGCGAAGGCAUUUCACUGGAACGGGUCCGACGGUGAGGGAUGAAAGCCAGGGGAGCGAGCCGGAUUAGAUACGUGAUGGAGACCAAAAAAUCUCCGAACGCUAAAAACCCGGGUAGUCCUGGCCGUAAACGAUGCGCGCUAAGUGUCAGGGUACAUGCGGAGUACCCUGGUGCCGAAGGGAAGCCGUUAAGCGCGCCGCAAGGGAAGUACGUACGCAAGUAUGAAACUUAAAGGAAUUGACGGGGGAGCACCACAAGGGGUGGAGCCUGCGGUUAAAUUGGACUCAACUCCGGGAACCUUACCUGUGCCGACAGCUGGAUGAUCCUCAAGCUAAAGACUUUAGGUGACUAGCUGAGAGGAGUGCAUGGGCAAGGCGAUUCAGCACACUGGC